UUGAUUUGAGAGAAGAAUAUAUAUACAUGUAUAAAGUGGAGGUAAAUGAUUUAGGGUGAAUUGAAUUCGUAUUAGUUGGAGUGAGUGAUGUAAAGAAAGAGAAGAACAUAGAGAGAAUGGAAGCGGAAAUGAAUAAAAUAUAUAGUUGCAUACAGCUGUGAUGAUGAAAAAGGCAACGGUGUACUGUUUAAUGAUGAAAAUUUUAGUAGAAAAUGAGAAAGAGAUUGGCGUAUGUGUUUGUAUGCAGUAUGAUAUAUGAAGAUGAGAAGGAUGGAAGGAUUUGAUGAUUAAGUUAGUAUAUAGAAAAAUUGUUUUUGUGUGUGUGUGAGAGAGAGAGGGCAUAACAUAAUUAGGGAGGUGUGGACCACGUGCAUGAUGAAAUGCUUCAAACAAGCACAAUGUCUUCCCUCAGCCGCCGGGGCCCGCGACCACAUUAAAAAAAAAGCAAUUUGGAUAUUAUGUUAAGUCUUUUGUCCGCUCCAUUAUGUCUUCACAACUUUCAACAAAUUCACAGUAAAACUAUUAUCAAUGUUACUUUGUUUAUUCUCAACCGUUGCCUGUGUUUCAUCGUUUCCAUAGAACUUACAAAGAUGUGACUGCUCAGCUACAGAUCAGUAAACAUAUGUUGACAGAAAGAUGAAUCAACAACAAAAGGAAACAUGGAUCUCUGACAGUGGUAGCUGCACCUUGUAACAGGGCAUUUAAUUUACUUAUCCGACAUAUAACAUGAAAGAUGGCACAAAUGCCCCAUCAUGGUUUUUUAGUCCCGUGAUUUCUGUGCUACCCAGUUGGAGAAAAUCUGAUACAAUAUUGCAAGGGUUCAUCUUUAGUUCAAACUGUGCAUAUAUCAAUGAUAAUAGUAAAAACUGAAGGUAUGGUUAACCUUUUUGUCUGAAAAAUUGUGAGCCACUGCUAACAUGGAUAUAUCUUACAUAUAUAUCCCAAUUUCCCUUCUUCUUUCCCACUUCAGGCCCCUCACGCAGUAUAUUCUACAAAAGUCAUUGUGAUGCUAUUAUUAUUAUUAUUUUCAAUCACUCAAUCAUGUUGGUGGACAAAACAUAAAAGUAUAGCAUGUCGUUUUCAUUCCAAUAUUUCUAUGUACACUUUAAUAAUCCAUAUGCUUUGCAUCUGUAUGCCAGUAAGUUUCGGACUUCAACUCAUUGAUUUCCCCGGGAACACUAUUCUUUUAUUUCAGUACAGCCAAACCCUUUAUCACUUUAUUGCAAAGCCUUACGGUAAUUCUACUGCACAUUAGAUGUUUGGUUGGUAAAUUUUCAGAUUAAAUCAUGCUUUAAAAAAGUUUGAUAUGAAGUCAUGUGAUUAUCAUGUGUUUUCUUGAAAAGGUAAUAGAAAAAAGCAGGGUUAGGAAUAGAAACAUUGAACA